UACGUAGGGAGCAAGCGUUGUCCGGAAUCACUGGGCGUAAAGCGCGCGUAGGUGGCCUCAUAAGUCCGCUGUGAAAGUCAAAGGCUCAACCUUUGAAAGCCGGUGGAUACUGUGAGGCUAGAGUACGGAAGAGGCGAGUGGAAUUCCUGGUGUAGCGGUGGAAUGCGCAGAUAUCAGGAGGAACACCAAUAGCGAAGGCAGCUCGCUGGGACGUUACUGACACUGAGGCGCGAAAGCGUGGGGAGCGAACAGG
rnacentral:rRNA from 1 species